UACGAAGGGGGGCUAGCGUUGCUCGGAAUCACUGGGCGUAAAGCGCACGUAGGCGGGUCCUUAAGUCAGGGGUGAAAUCCUGGAGCUCAACUCCAGAACUGCCCUUGAUACUGAGGAUCUCGAGUUCGGGAGAGGUGAGUGGAACUGCGAGUGUAGAGGUGAAAUUCGUAGAUAUUCGCAAGAACACCAGUGGCGAAGGCGGCUCACUGGCCCGAUACUGACGCUGAGGUGCGAAAGCGUGGGGAGCAAACAGG
rnacentral:rRNA from 1 species